CCUACGGGAGGCAGCAGUGAGGAAUAUUGGACAAUGGGCGCAAGCCUGAUCCAGCCAUGCCGCGUGCAGGAAGACGGUCCUAUGGAUUGUAAACUGCUUUUAUACAGGAAGAAACACCUCUACGUGUAGAGACUUGACGGUACUGUAUGAAUAAGCAUCGGCUAACUCCGUGCCAGCAGCCGCGGUAAUACGGAGGAUGCAAGCGUUAUCCGGAAUCAUUGGGUUUAAAGGGUCCGUAGGCGGUUUAAUAAGUCAGUGGUGAAAGCCCAUCGCUCAACGAUGGAACGGCCAUUGAUACUGUUAAACUUGAAUUAUUAGGAAGUAACUAGAAUAUGUAGUGUAGCGGUGAAAUGCUUAGAGAUUACAUGGAAUACCAAUUGCGAAGGCAGGUUACUACUAAUAUAUUGACGCUGAUGGACGAAAGCGUGGGGAGCGAACAGGAUUAGAUACCCUGGUAGUCCACGCCGUAAACGAUGGAUACUAGCUGUUCGGAGCAAUCUGAGUGNGUAGAGAAGAGAGUAAGUAUACCACCGUCGGGUAGGUACGGUUACGUCGAAGAAGUAGAAACGUUAAAAGGUAAAGUUAGUACGGACGUAGAGAGUAGACCGACGGACGACGACGAGGGGAGGAGG
rnacentral:rRNA from 1 species